CGGAUGUAGUUUAGUGGUAGAACUUCAGCCUUCCAAGCUGAUCGUGAGGGUUCGAUUCCCUUCAUCCG
rnacentral:tRNA from 1 species